GUGAACGCUGGCGGUAGGCCUAACACAUGCAAGUCGAACGGCAGCACAGUAAGAGCUUGCUCUUACGGGUGGCGAGUGGCGGACGGGUGAGGAAUACAUCGGAAUCUACUUUUUCGUGGGGGAUAACGUAGGGAAACUUACGCUAAUACCGCAUACGACCUACGGGUGAAAGCAGGGGAUCUUCGGACCUUGCGCGAUUGAAUGAGCCGAUGUCGGAUUAGCUAGUUGGCGGGGUAAAGGCCCACCAAGGCGACGAUCCGUAGUUGGUCUGAGAGGAUGAUCAGCCACACUGGAACUGAGACACGGUCCAGACUCCUACGGGAGGCAGCAGUGGGGAAUAUUGGACAAUGGGCGCAAGCCUGAUCCAGCCAUACCGCGUGGGUGAAGAAGGCCUUCGGGUUGUAAAGCCCUUUUGUUGGGAAAGAAAAGCAGCAGGUUAAUACCCCGCUGUUCUGACGGUACCCAAAGAAUAAGCACCGGCUAACUUCGU
rnacentral:rRNA from 1 species